rnacentral:rRNA from 1 species
GACGAACGCUGGCGGCGUGCUUAACACAUGCAAGUCGAACGGAAAGGCCCUGCUUUUGUGGGGUGCUCGAGUGGCGAACGGGUGAGUAACACGUGAGUAACCUGCCCUUGACUUUGGGAUAACUUCAGGAAACUGGGGCUAAUACCGGAUAGGAGCUCCUGCUGCAUGGUGGGGGUUGGAAAGUUUCGGCGGUUGGGGAUGGACUCGCGGCUUAUCAGCUUGUUGGUGGGGUAGUGGCUUACCAAGGCUUUGACGGGUAGCCGGCCUGAGAGGGUGACCGGCCACAUUGGGACUGAGAUACGGCCCAGACUCCUACGGGAGGCAGCAGUGGGGAAUAUUGCACAAUGGGCGGAAGCCUGAUGCAGCAACGCCGCGUGCGGGAUGGCUGCCUUCGGGUUGUAAACCGCUUUCGCCUGUGACGAAGCGUGAGUGACGGUAAUGGGUAAAGAAGCACCGGCUAACUACGUG